rnacentral:rRNA from 1 species
GACGAACGCUGGCGGCGUGCUUAACACAUGCAAGUCGGACGGUAAGGCUCCAGCUUGCUGGGGUACACGAGUGGCGAACGGGUGAGUAACACGUGGGUGACCUGCCCUGCACUUCGGGAUAAGCCUGGGAAACUGGGUCUAAUACCGGAUAGGACCAUGGUGUGGAUACUGUGGUGGAAAGUUUUUUCGGUGUGGGAUGGGCCCGCGGCCUAUCAGCUUGUUGGUGGGGUAAUGGCCUACCAAGGCGGCGACGGGUAGCCGGCCUGAGAGGGUGGACGGCCACAUAGGGACUGAGACACGGCCCAGACUCCUACGGGAGGCAGCAAUGGGGAAUAUUGCACAAUGGGCGGAAGCCUGAUGCAGCGACGCCGCGUGGGGGAUGACGGCCUUCGGGUUGUAAACUCCUUUCACCAUCGACGAAGGGUUUCUGACGGUAGAUGGAGAAGAAGCACCGGCUAACUACGUG